UGCGGAUUUACACACAAAUCUUGCGUUGUGUAAGUAUAUUUCAGAAAGGUAUGAAAAUACACGUCUGUACCACGCUUUCGACUUUCGUGUCAUAUUGUGGUAUUUCCGCAUCUGGUCGGAAAGGUCGACCCCACCAAUAUGCGCACUGUAAUCCGCAGUAAGGGGUUUCCACUAGUGUAUUCAAAAGGAUACUCUGGUUCGUGAAUUUUAGAUAUAAGAAAUAUACAGCUUUAUAUCCACCCAAGACUGCGCAAGAAUUUGCCCGGACGCCCGUCAGUCGGAGGAACCCCUUUGAUUUCCGCCGCGCGAAAUAGUUUUCAAUAUAAGUUCUUUUGGAAAGCCUAAUCGUUCCGCACGCUAACACUCCAUCUAUGAGUGAAGAAAACAACGCUGGACUAGAAUAUAAAUUGUUUAGGUAGAGAUGGUAGUUUUGGUGCUCAAAGGGAGCUAUUAGCUGGUAUACAGCUCUCGUUGGUAGGUCCACCUCUGGCGAAGAGCUACCAAAUUUGCCCGUAUAUAGUUGAAUGCGAAAAACGUAGCCAGUUUUUGACUCGGCAAAUACCUAAACUUCAUUACGAAACGGGCUUUUUUAGACCUAAUAAAUCGUCGGAAGCCUCUUCUGCCAGUGAACGAGAUUAGGGACUCGUCGGUCAAAACAUCACGACGAGGCCCAUAGACAGAUAAUAGUCUCUGCAUCAUCUCGUGAUGGGGCAUCGGUGUAUUUACCGCCUAAUACCUCAUUUAAGAUUUGUCCGGGAUAUUGUUUGCUAAGAGUUUUAUAUAUUUGGGUUGGAAUACUUUCCAGUUGACACUUGAGGUAAUUAAUUGAUGUCUGACGAUAAAUCGACAAUUACCUCGGUUAUUCUGUCAGUAUUCUUCUGAAUAAAGCCAGUAAGGGUGCUUGAACCCAAUUGGGAAUUGACGAACCCAGAAGCUCUCAAUGAAUUACGUUGGUGCGUUUUAAAUGAAAAUCCAAUAUUUGUGCAAAAUAGAUUUGUACUAAAACAUGUUUCCACAUAGCCACCACAUGAGCCCUACUGGUGGAUGCCAGUUACCAAUUCCUGAAAGUCUAAUCUGUAAAUUUCACCUGUCUUAAUAUAAUGCAAUGCCAUUUUCGAAUUGAAAUUUUUGAAUCGGGACAUUCUGUCAAAGGGUAAUUUUUCCAAAUAAUUGUUUGCGUACAUACAGUACAAGAUCCCGAAUUAAUACAACAAGUGGGAAAUCCUGAGAAUAGACCCAAAAUAAUACUUUUGAUAUGGUCGUAAUACAUUUUAGUUGAGCUAAAUGAGCCUCAAAAACUUUCCCAGUUGUUGUUGGCCACUUAUAUUCAUAUUCUACUUCAUUAUUAGUAACUGAGGUUGAUUUCAGAUUACCUAUAUUUUAAGGGCGAAAGAUUGAAGUAAUAAUAUUAUUUUGAUUGGGCGUAAUCAUGCUGGCGUUUCUGGCGAGUUGUUCUACCGGAACACGUUGUUGUUGGCGGUUCAGUCCUGCUUAAAAAUAAUAACGCAGUUUUAGUAUUCGGUUCAGUUGGUAUUUUCAUGUCGGUUUGCGCGAGUUUUAUUCUAUCCAUACCUACAGUUUUUAAUAUCUAUUUUAUGAUAUUUUGCAUGUUUUUGAACGAACGGACCAACCAAUAGCGGUAUUAUUGUAUAUAAAUAGGUAAUUACAUUUGAAAUUCCAUCUUACAUUUUGAGAUUUUCAUACCCGUAUAACUUUUAACGGCCGUUAUAUUACUACCAAGGUAUCGUUAUCGAAGAUGUAACAAAAACAAAAAACGCGCGCAACCUUCCUUUUUCUAUUUCACCAUUAGCUUAUAUAUCAUUUUUAGUAUGCUCAUAAGUUAAGAACUAUGGUGAGGUUGCCCUGGAAAUAAGCUCGGACGACUUAAAUGAAUAUGUUCGAAUGACAGCUUCAUCCUCGCCUAACUAAGAGGUGCACUAUAAAUAAGUUUGGAACACUUUAAUUAGGAUGAUGGGUUGGGAGUGACAACAUUGCUUGCUUCUCAUCAAUAAAGAUCUAUAACAGACUCAAACUGAACUAAAUAAGUUUGGAACACUUUAAUUAGGAUGAUGGGUUGGGAGUGACAACAUUGCUUGCUUCUCAUCAAUAAAGAUCUAUAACAGACUCAAACUGAACUAGGGUUGCACUUGAAAUAAGAUUUCCUAACUUAUUUACACGAGAUCAGAGAACUAAAAGUUGCGAGCAGUUCCGAUAGACAUCGAGCAUAGACGAAGAUGUCUUUUUGAUUGGUCUUCAUUAUUUAACUCUGUUGCCACAACACUGCAUGUUUCACCCAUUAUACGAUGAAUCGCGUUAGCUUUGUAAUGUUUUAAAGGGAACUGAAAUCGCCUGCUAUAUGUGCCAACGCCAGACACAAGUAACUCAUUAUUGUGCUUCCGAAGAACAUUCAUUUAGGCCAAGAUUCAUCGCUUUUCUUAAAAUGCCGCUGUUCUGGUGGUAUGAGACAUACAAAUAUAGCGGCGCGUAUAUCAUGCCAGUCCGAAGGAAUUGUUAUUACAAUACAUAGUUGACCCUGUGAGAACUUUAUAGCUCCUGCCAUGUUAUUGUAUGUUAGACGCAGUACUACCCCGUUCAAAUCCAUCGGUUCCAAAACAUCUCUGCUAAUUGUUUUGGACCGUUUGGGUGAUGUCGCUUCCCAAAUCUUACCGCUGUAUAUCUCGUCUUGUGCUAAAAAGUGUGCAACAACAAUUUCUGAGUUUAUCCUAAAGAAACUGUGUCACAACUUAUUGCUCAGCUUUUCGCGUUCAGACAACACGGGCUUGCAGGAACGUCGCUCCAAUCCGUCAAAAAUUGCAAAUUUUUCAAUGGUGUUGGACGCAAUUCUCAAUAUUCUACAAUAAGUGCUCAGCUUUUCGCGUUCAGACAACACGGGCUUGCAGGAACGUCGCUUCAAUCCGUCAAAAAUUGCAACUGUUUUUAAUAGUGUUGACGCAAUUCUCAAUAUCCUCCUUUUUCAACGACGCUUUCCUGAGAAUUGCAAAUAUUCCUUGUGAAGCAUUAUCAGCCGCCGCACGUUCGUAGUGGCGCAACGAAAAAACUUCAAACGAUGUCAUGAGGUGAAUAGAAGUUCAAAAACGAGAACUAUCUGGUGGUGAAAGUUGGCAUGGGUCUCCGUUUGUUAUGACCAUUUUAUUUUUGAAAGAAGCGUCGCUCUUCAUGUUGUUGUCUAUUGUACUGUCCAGAACUGAAUACAGUUUAGCAAAAUAAGGCCUAUCUCAAAGAUAAAAAUAUACGUUCGUUGAAGCAACACUAUUCUUGUUCCAUCUAUUCGAAAGGCGCCAAUAAGAUUUGGUUGGAUUCUUUCAGGGGAACCAUGAUGCACUGAGUUUACUUGCAAAGGAAAUGGCUGGUGUAUUGGGACACAGCCCUAGCUCUCUCAGACGUUAAAGAUAAGACAUUGACUCGAUAUUCAGAGGCAAGAACGAUGAAGGCGAACUAGCAGCACUAAAAACGAUUUUCCAGUUCCUGGGAGACCAACAACUGGUGGGAUUCUAUGAUUGACAAAAUCUUACUGUGAACUUCAAAACAGUGUUAGGAUAUUUACUUUCUACGACUGGUAUGAAAGAGCAUGAACGUUCGUUGUCACUGCCUUGGGGUAACAUCCAGUUACGGGAUUUUAUUUGAUCCUAUAACAUCUUCAACAGCUGGCAAAUUGCGCAUAUCUGCAUUCAAUAAAGUUGCAUACAGCGCUUCGGUGCGAUUUCUCAUUCUAUAAGUAUAUUUUAAUUUUUCCGCAGAAAAAAAUCAUUCACAAAACACUAACAAUGAACACACGAAGAAUCGGCAAAACUGCCAAAGCCUUUAUAAGGUUUAGUACAUGUAUUUCAAGAACUCUCUUUUGCUGUAUACAUAAUUCUAUUAUGGGCGACAAGGCGCUGCUAAAAUUAUCCAUAUCCACGUCUAUGGAAAAUUACAAUUUAGUAAAACCCAAUUUUCGUUACACAAAAAAGUAAAACCCAAUUUCCGUUACACGAAAAAAUUUUUUGUUCACAUUUUAAUUUUUCUGCCCCACUUAUCUUCAAAUAUGAGUUUUCACAGUCGAGCUCUAAAACCACAUCGCGGACUCUAGUCCAUAUAAAUUGUUUCUCACCCCCAUGCGAUUCUUCACCAUAAGAAUACUUUAACAAGUAUGCAGUAGAAAAUCUCAAAUCACGAACAGCCGCGUUGAAAAAAUACCGCAACGCACAUUGGACUAAAGGUAUAGUGGGUAAGUAUGUACUACCAGGCGGAUUCCUCGUUGAGUAGUGGUGCCGUCCUCCUUGAAGUCUGGGAUCUGUCAUUGUCAAUGUCUCUUUGACUGUUCCAUCGCCAUCACCUUGCUGUUGCCUUUAUUUUUAGCACUCUGUUUAGCAUAUCUUCUAGGUACAUAUCUUGUUUCAUUUGAAAGUGGUGGUCGUGCCUGUUAAGAUGUCUUGGAACUCGGCAAAUGAAAGAAUCUUCAUCAUUACUUCUUCUUUUACAACGUUCUCCGGCUCUGUUGCGGUUGUGCGUUGACAGUACCGUAUACAACUUCUUUAACUCUUAAUAUUUGAAAAAAUCUUUGACUGUUCCUUCAGAAAGAAGAGAUUUGUAGUCUACCCCAAAACUUUAAUCAUUAAAAAACAGUAUCGGAGUUGCAAGAAAUUCGACGUAAAGUUUCCACAAUCGACUCUGGGAAUAGAGAAACACCAAUAUGAACAUGUGCAUUCUCACCAGACGACUUAUGUGACUGAAACUCUAAUCGGGAGAAGAUAUGUUCUGUUGGUCCCAUGACUUGCUCAGGGCUUCUCAUCAUAUAGUUCAGAAAAGAGGAUGCGAAGAGUAACCAUAAACGAUUGGAUAUUCAAAUAUUGGCGUUAUAAAUACGUGUAUAGUCUUCAGGUUUAUCACACAUCAUUUUCAUGGCUUCAAUGAUGCAUCCGACCUCUGGUGACAUACGUAUUCAUUACAAGUUAGUCAUCCGAUACUUCCAUGGAUGCAAUUUGGUUGGUGCAGCAAGUCCCCAGAGGCUGAGUGACAAUUCAUAAUCACCGUAUGGUAGUGCAACAUCUUGCGGCAUAAAGUGAAAAGUGUGCUUUUUUGCCAAAUGUUCCAACCCUCUUUUAGCAACCAUUGCAAAUGAAUUACCUUUCAAACAGUUCUUCACCAUCAGAUCAAAGUGGUAAUGGAGGCUUGUAUGGUGCGCUGCCGUAGGCGAGUCAUGGUCGCGUAUUCUAAUCCCAAUUAUAUCUUUAAACCAGAGCAUCUUUAAAUCAGCAUCGCGCCUCAUGAACUUUUGUGGAAUGGCUCUUAUUGGAGCCUUGUUUUUCAGAUCUUAAAAUGUAGUUGGCAACAAAACUGACCCUCUGGAUAAGGAAGCGAAACAAACAGCAGGUGAUCCACUUUUUGCCACAAAUUGUUGUAAAAAAUCUUGUUGUCUUGUCCCCAUUUUUUACGUCUCCGCCUUUAAAGAACAUAGCAACCACCGUUCAGCGACUGUAUAUAAGAAAUAUUUAUCACCAAUUCUUCCCCACUUCUUGUAAACGAUACAAACUCAUCAGAAUUUCGUGCCCUUACAAGAUCACUUAUAUACGCUUUUUCAUCCGGAAUCCGAAAAAAGAUGAAUGGAAUAGCGCGUCUGGAAGCAGUUACUGUGCCACUGCACGUCUCAGUACGGAGUAAUUACGCCAAGGUCUCCUGAUUGAAAUUUAUCUGUUUAGAGCAGAAUUUCUUUGGUAGCCGUCGCAAAAAUUCAGAAGCUUUUUCCACCUCACCAGUUGUGCUUUUGUCUGUAAUGGAGAAGUUUAUCAUCAUAAGUUAUUUGUGCUUCAAUGUAAGUUUGUUUUAAAAUAUUUUCUAUAUUCUCUGAUGAAUGUUUUUACAACCUUACGUUACUUGAAAACUUCUGUUUCAUCAAUUACUACUUUCGUCUGGUUCGAAUAUUUUCUUUGCCAUUUUCAUUGUUUCGUCUCUUAAUAAUCCAGCAACCAGUCUCUUAAUAAUCCAGCAACCAUUAUCCAUAUCUGGUACAUGGCAAUAUUAUCGAACUUCUGGAAGUUGUCGCAGUUUGUUGAAGAAUUUCCACUGCCUCUCUUCAAACUCCGAGAACGAAAGACCACCACCAUCAUUUAUAGACGAUUCCAUGACAGAUGAAGCAACUUGUGAUUGAUUGACUGCACGUCUCAAUUGGCGGCACAACUUUGGUAAUUUGCAGAUUUCAGCCUUCAAUAAUAGGUAGAUAGACGCAAUCACCGCCGCAUCCUGCAUCAUGGAAAUACAAGUCAUUUAGUUGGCAAACCUCAUGUAGCCAAGUUAAUCCAGAAGGGCCAUGCCUCUAUCUUUCGUCUUUGAGUUUGAAUGUCUUGGUUUCAACAGCCGCUGAAGGGUAUAUUUUAUAACCCUUCUGUUUCCAUACGGGUAGAUGAUCAUUGUUUGCUGAGAUGUUUCCAGCCUUCACGUUCACUUGCGGCGGGAUCACGUUCGACAAUCAAUUGGCGUGAUUAUGGGCAACAGUGCAACAUAGUUCCUGUUCAAUGACAUGUAGCAAAUAAUAAUUAACAACGGUUGGGUAUUGUCCACGAAAGAAAAUCCUAUCACAAAUUUCUCCAAAUGCGUAAAGUUAUUGGAACAAGUUCGGCAACUGCACAAAAGCAGAUACUUUGAGCCCAUUUUUCACCAUGCAUUGUCAAAGACGCAAAGUCAUUGAAAUUUUGGGCUCUUCCAGAAUUACUAUCAUCUUCACUAUUUUUGAAGCGUGUAGCAUAAAAUACGAACCGAAAAUCAGUGCUCGCCCAAAUGCACAUCGCAACUCACGACAUCUUGAAACUUUCCAUCGACUAUUUGUGGCUUUCAACCCUUCAAUGAUAGAUAAAAUAAGUGCAAUCACCACCGCCAUUGUGAAUAAACAGGUUGUUAAGCUUACAAACCUCAAGCAGCCAUCAAACUCCAGAUGUUCCGAAAUUUCAUCUUGAGUUCAUUCUUUAUCAUUCGAGCAUUACCGAACAUAAAAAUUAGUCUCUUAUGUAAUUCGAGAGUCCUGUUGCAUACUAACGCAAAUGUAUUUCUGUAACAUUUUGUCUGACCAAAAUCAGACUUCCUCAGACGAGCAGUUUACAACAAUGACAAGAGAAAAAAGCAAUCGUACUUUUUAAAUACGACGGUCGGACGAAACGUUACAGAAAUACUUUUUUAUCAGUAGGCAGCGGGACUCUUGAAUUACAUAGUAUGGUCGUGUUUAUUCCUGCUACAGCAUCCAUGCAUUAUACGCCUACGAACCCGCUAGGGCAAAGGCAUCAGGGAAGGCUUGGGGUUUAGCCUCGAGCAAUCUCUACUGCUAGUUAUAAAAGUUAUUACUUACAAUUUGAGUUGUGCGGUGUCUCUGCAACGCUCUCUGCUUUCUUCAACAUUCUGUGUUGAAUCGUCUGUGAACUGUGAACUUUCAACUGAACGAAAAAAAGUUAUUGUAAACGAAACCUUGUUCAAUGAAAAUAAUUUGUAAUACACGACUGCGACUUACGGUUUUAGAUGUACGGCUUAUCAUUGCUCAUUUUUAUCUGGAACGCUGCAUUGCCUCUUGACUUGCCCGGCUGAAUACACUACGGUCACAUUUAAAUAAGAGAAAUUCUUCCAACAAUUCAACUCGUUAUUCAAUUAAAAAAAGAUGUUACUUACACAUAAAGGAUGUUCAUCACAUAUUUUUUCAACGUUUUGGUUUUGUCCAAAAAGUUUCAUAAUCUUGCAAGUUCAAGCAUUAUGAAUAGUGUCAUCGCAGUAACUGCACAUUCGUUUGCGUUUGUAACCCAUUUUAUGUAGUUUGCAAAAAUACAACUAUCCCAAUGUAUUUAAAAAUCUAUAUACUAUUUGUAAGUACAAAUGUUCAAUUUGCUACAUAGUAUUAUACGUCAUCGUCAUCCGCUGCUUAUCCAAAACAUGUCCAGCUUCAUUGUCGGGCUCAAAUUCAUGCCUUUGUAGGGCGUCACCAUUUAUUUUCACCUUGCUAAUGUGUAAAUUGAAUUUUUCUGUCACUACAUCUUCUUUUUUAACUUCAGGGCUGUACCAGCCUAGAAGUCUGAAGCCUCUAUGAUUUUUCAAUACUACAGCCAUGUGGUAUACCAUGUCCAUGAAUUCCACGUCUUAGGGUGGAGAUCAAAAGGGUAGUUUAACCUCGAAUCGGAGUUUAACUUUGGAUCGGCGGUUUAAGUCCGGAUCAAAAAGGUGGUUUAACCUCGAAUCGGAGUUUAACUUUGGAUCGGCGGUUUAAGUCCGGAUCAAAAAGGUGGUUUAACUUUCUGCGACUUAAAUCUCGACUCAAAAUCGGCGAUUUUUUAAACCUAGUCUGGAGGUGGUUUAACUCGGUUUGUCGAGUGCAUUUGGAUUGCGACGCUUGUCGCGUUGGAUUUUAUCGCUUACCGUACAUUCUGUAUUGGAUUUUGGGGCGACAAAAUGUGUAGCAGGGAGCUCUGUACAAGCGCCACGACGAAUAAAUAUUGGAUACCUGUACCACGAGGCUGCGAUGUGUAGCAUUUGCGGUGGUACCGGUACCCGUGCUGUACCGGUACCUACCGUACUACGCCCGAACAAAAUUAUUUACAACGUGGAAUUGGGCUAUACUAUCAUAAAUCUAGUAAGGUAAAUACAUACCUGGCGUAUUGAUAUAUUUUUGUAUUUGCGUUUUUUUAAAUUUCUUAGCAGUUUUUGUGAAGAUUUAUUUUAGCUUAGAUUGUAGACUACAGCUGUACCGGUACCAGUAGUCUAUUGCUAUAUGAGUACUUGUCAUAAACAGACAUAGGGCCCAGUAUUUUAGUAUAGUUUCGUUGGUAAGCAGUUGCGCAGGGGUACCGUCGAACAGAUACUCCUAGUCCUAAUACAGUAAUAUAAACUUCAAAAUGUUUUAACAAAAAUGAUACAUUUUCAGAUAUUUAGAUCUACCAGUGCCCAAAAGAUACCUUUUGGUUAUAUUUUGUGUAUGAGCAGAACUGAGAUUUACCUACGAUAUCCAUGCAUCACUUCUGCACUGAGACCCGGUGUAUGUAUCUUGUCAUCGGCUAAUUCACAAGUCUGCAAGUUCCCGAAGUUGGAUCAAAAAAAUAGGUAAGAAGCGAAUAGAUAGCAGAAGCUGUUUCAAAUCAAGUAAACUGUCUGAGUGCCACGAUGAUGAUCAAUUUCAUCAGCUCUAGUGAAAAAGCAAAUUUGUCAUGAAGACAAACAACUGUUAUAGAUUAUAGUAAAAGUGUUCUCAAGUCAAGGUUGCAGCAGUGCUUUAUUUUACGACUUCGUGUCCAACAAAUAUGUGGAACCGCCUUUGUGUCCAACAAAUAUGUGGAACCCCGUUAACUUAAGCUCAACAAACAAAUAAUUCUUGCAUGCUAAAACAUUUGAAACAAACGUAGUUAUGUCAAUUUUUCGUCACUUGGCGAGUCUUAGAAAUAAAUAAAACUUUUAAAUAGCAACGAAAGCAACAACUAUGAUUGCACCUGUGUCUGUGUGCAUCUGUCUCGAAGCUGUAGAGCCAGGAUAAAAUUUAUCACCUCUUCCGAAUUGAUUCUAUACUUUUCCAUUUCUUGAAUGUCGGUACAUUUUAGCAGUCAUUUGAACAAAUAAAUAUUAGUUAUUUUUGCAAUACAA